GUUAUAUGGUCAAGUGAAGAAGCGCAUACGGUGGAUGCCUUGGCAGUCAGAGGCGAUGAAAGACGUGGUAGCCUGCGAAAAGCUUCGGGGAGUCGGCAAACAGACYGUGAUCCGGAGGUAUCUGAAUGGGGGAACCCAGCCAUCAUAAGAUGGUUAUCUUGUACUGAAUACAUAGGUGCAAGAGGCGAACCAGGGGAACUGAAACAUCUAAGUACCCUGAGGAAAAGAAAUCAACCGAGAUUCCCUUAGUAGUGGCGAGCGAACGGGGACCAGCCCUUAAGUUGUAUUGAGAUUAGCGGAACRCUCUGGAAAGGRUGGCCAUAGUGGGUGAUAGCCCUGUACGCGAAAAUCCCUUUGCAAUGAAAUCGAGUAGGACGGGGCACGAGAAACCUUGUCUGAAUAUGGGGGGACCAUCCUCCAAGGCUAAAUACUACUGACUGACCGAUAGUGAACCAGUACCGUGAGGGAAAGGCGAAAAGAACCGCGGAGAGCGGAGUGAAAUAGAUCCUGAAACCGUAUGCGUACAAGCAGUGGGAGCCCACUUUGUUGGGUGACUGCGUACCUUUUGUAUAAUGGGUCAGCGACUUAUUUUCAGUGGCGAGCUUAACCGAAUAGGGGAGGCGUAGCGAAAGCGAGUCUUAAUAGGGCGUCUAGUCGCUGGGAAUAGACCCGAAACCGGGCGAUCUAUCCAUGGGCAGGUUGAAGGUUGGGUAACACUAACUGGAGGACCGAACCGACUACCGUUGAAAAGUUAGCGGAUGACCUGUGGAUCGGAGUGAAAGGCUAAUCAAGCUCGGAGAUAGCUGGUUCUCCUCGAAAGCUAUUUAGGUAGCGCCUCAUGUAUCACUGUAGGGGGUAGAGCACUGUUUCGGCUAGGGGGUCAUCCCGACUUACCAAACCGAUGCAAACUCCGAAUACCUACAAGUGCCGAGCAUGGGAGACACACGGCGGGUGCUAACGUCCGUCGUGAAAAGGGAAACAACCCAGACCGUCAGCUAAGGUCCCAAAGUCAUGGUUAAGUGGGAAACGAUGUGGGAAGGCUUAGACAGCUAGGAGGUUGGCUUAGAAGCAGCCACCCUUUAAAGAAAGCGUAAUAGCUCACUAGUCGAGUCGGCCUGCGCGGAAGAUGUAACGGGGCUCAAACCAUGCACCGAAGCUACGGGUAUCAUCUUUUGAUGAUGCGGUAGAGGAGCGUUCUGUAAGCCUGUGAAGGUGAGUUGAGAAGCUUGCUGGAGGUAUCAGAAGUGCGAAUGCUGACAUGAGUAACGACAAUGGGUGUGAAAAACACCCACGCCGAAAGACCAAGGUUUCCUGCGCAACGUUAAUCGACGCAGGGUUAGUCGGUCCCUAAGGCGAGGCUGAAAAGCGUAGUCGAUGGAAAACAGGUUAAUAUUCCUGUACUUCUGGUUAUUGCGAUGGAGGGACGGAGAAGGCUAGGCCAGCCUGGCGUUGGUUGUCCAGGUUUAAGGUGGUAGGCUGAGAUCUUAGGUAAAUCCGGGAUCUYAAGGCCGAGAGCUGAUGACGAGUGUUCUUUAGAACACGAAGUGGUUGAUGCCAUGCUUCCAAGAAAAGCUUCUAAGCUUCAGGUAACCAGGAACCGUACCCCAAACCGACACAGGUGGUUGGGUAGAGAAUACCAAGGCGCUUGAGAGAACUCGGGUGAAGGAACUAGGCAAAAUGGCACCGUAACUUCGGGAGAAGGUGCGCCGGUGAGGGUGAAGCAUUUACUGCGUAAGCYCAUGCCGGUCGAAGAUACCAGGCCGCUGCGACUGUUUAUUAAAAACACAGCACUCUGCAAACACGAAAGUGGACGUAUAGGGUGUGACGCCUGCCCGGUGCCGGAAGGUUAAUUGAUGGGGUUAGCGCAAGCGAAGCUCUUGAUCGAAGCCCCGGUAAACGGCGGCCGUAACUAUAACGGUCCUAAGGUAGCGAAAUUCCUUGUCGGGUAAGUUCCGACCUGCACGAAUGGCGUAACGAUGGCGGCGCUGUCUCCACCCGAGACUCAGUGAAAUUGAAAUCGCUGUGAAGAUGCAGUGUAUCCGCGGCUAGACGGAAAGACCCCGUGAACCUUUACUAUAGCUUUGCACUGGACUUUGAAUUUGCUUGUGUAGGAUAGGUGGGAGGCUUUGAAGCGUGGACGCCAGUCUGCGUGGAGCCAACCUUGAAAUACCACCCUGGCAACUUUGAGGUUCUAACUCAGGUCCGUUAUCCGGAUCGAGGACAGUGUAUGGUGGGUAGUUUGACUGGGGCGGUCUCCUCCUAAAGAGUAACGGAGGAGUACGAAGGUGCGCUCAGACCGGUCGGAAAUCGGUCGUAGAGUAUAAAGGCAAAAGCGCGCUUGACUGCGAGACAGACACGUCGAGCAGGUACGAAAGUAGGUCUUAGUGAUCCGGUGGUUCUGUAUGGAAGGGCCAUCGCUCAACGGAUAAAAGGUACUCCGGGGAUAACAGGCUGAUACCGCCCAAGAGUUCAUAUCGACGGCGGUGUUUGGCACCUCGAUGUCGGCUCAUCACAUCCUGGGGCUGAAGCCGGUCCCAAGGGUAUGGCUGUUCGCCAUUUAAAGUGGUACGCGAGCUGGGUUUAGAACGUCGUGAGACAGUUCGGUCCCUAUCUGCCGUGGACGUUUGAGAUUUGAGAGGGGCUGCUCCUAGUACGAGAGGACCGGAGUGGACGAACCUCUGGUGUUCCGGUUGUCACGCCAGUGGCAUUGCCGGGUAGCUAUGUUCGGAAAAGAUAACCGCUGAAAGCAUCUAAGCGGGAAACUUGCCUCAAGAUGAGAUCUCACUGGAACCUUGAGUUCCCUAAAGGGCCGUCGAAGACUACGACGUUGAUAGGUUGGGUGUGUAAGCGCUGUGAGGCGUUGAGCUAACCAAUACUAAUUGCCCGUGAGGCUUGACCAUAUAACACCCAAGCAAUU
rnacentral:rRNA from 1 species